rnacentral:rRNA from 1 species
GACGAACGCUGGCGGCGUGCUUAACACAUGCAAGUCGAACGGUAAGGCCCUUCGGGGUACACGAGUGGCGAACGGGUGAGUAACACGUGGGUGAUCUGCCCUGCACUUCGGGAUAAGCCUGGGGAACUGGGUCUAAUACCGGAUAGGACCACUGCCUGCAUGGGUGGGGGUGGAAAGCUUUUGCGGUGUGGGAUGGGCCCGCGGCCUAUCAGCUUGUUGGUGGGGUGAUGGCCUACCAAGGCGACGACGGGUAGCCGGCCUGAGAGGGUGACCGGCCACACUGGGACUGAGAUACGGCCCAGACUCCUACGGGAGGCAGCAGUGGGGAAUAUUGCACAAUGGGCGCAAGCCUGAUGCAGCGACGCCGCGUGAGGGAUGACGGCCUUCGGGUUGUAAACCUCUUUCAGCACCGACGAAGCACAAGUGACGGUAGGUGCAGAAGAAGGACCGGCCAACUACGUGCCAGCAGCCGCAGUAA